CGGGGGUUUAUUGUAAGUUGGCUGGGUAAGCCUACGAAGUGCCCGAAGAACGAGGCUGGUGUGAAUUUUUUAUAUAGAAUUGGAGUUUAGGGGUGGAGUUCUUUUCUCGUAGCCUCCUUCAAUAGAGUUUAGUAGGGCAUUGAUUGGCAUUUGAGAUGACAGCUACGUGCUUCUUUUAUUCUUGGGGUCUAUGGAGGAGUUCAAAGAAAC
rnacentral:lncRNA from 1 species